rnacentral:rRNA from 1 species
UAGCGUAGAGUGCAAGCGUUGUCCGGAUUUACUGGCGUAAAGCGCGCGCAGGCGGCAUACCAAGGUAUUCAGUGAAAUCUCCCUGCUCAACGGGGAGGGUGCUGAGUAAGACGUGGUAAGCUAGAGGACGGUAGAGGGGGGUAGAAUUGCUGGUGUAGCGGUGAAAAAUGCGUAGAGAUCAGCAGGAAUACCCCGUGGCGAAGGCGGCCCCC